rnacentral:rRNA from 1 species
UACGUAGGGUGCAAGCGUUGUCCGGAUUUAUUGGGCGUAAAGAGCUCGUAGGCGGUUUGUCGCGUCGGAUGUGAAAACCCAAUGGCUUAACCUUGGGCCUGCAUUCGAUACGGGCAAACUAGAGUGUGGUAGGGGAGACUGGAACUCCUGGUGUAGCGGUGGAAUGCGCAGAUAUCAGGAAGAACACCGAUGGCGAAGGCAGGUCUCUGGGCCAUAACUGACGCUGAGGAGCGAAAGCGUGGGGAGCGAACAGGAUUAGAAACCCUAGUAGUCC